rnacentral:rRNA from 1 species
UAAGGAAUCUUCCACAAUGGACGAAAGUCUGAUGGAGCAACGCCGCGUGCAGGAAGACGGCUUUCGGGUUGUAAACUGCUUUUAUUUGGGAAGAUUAUGACUGUACCAAAUGAAUAAGGACCGGCUAACUACGUGCCAGCAGCCGCGGUAAUACGUAGGGUCCAAGCGUUAUCCGGAAUUCCUGGGCGUAAAGCGUACGUAGGCGGCGCGUUAAGUGAUAUGCGAAAUCCAGCGGCUCAACCGUUUGGACUGUAUAUCAUACUGACGUGCUAGAGGAUGGCAGAGGCAAGUGGAAUUGGUAGUGUAGCAGUGAAAUGCGUAGAUAUUACCAGGAACACCAAUGGCGAAGGCAGCUUGCUGGGCCAUUUCUGACGCUGAGGUACGAAAGCGUGGGGAGCGAAC